GUCGAACGCUGGCGGCGUGCCUAAUACAUGCAAGUAGGACGCAGUUGCGAACGGGUGAGUAACGCGUAGGUAACUGCCUAUUAGAGGGGGAUAACUAUUGGAAACGAUAGCUAAUACCGCAUACUAGUAGAUGGACCUGCGUUGUAUUAGCUAGUAGGUAGGGUAAUGGCCUACCUAGGCGACGAUACAUAGCCGACCUGAGAGGGUGAUCGGCCACACUGGGACUGAGGCACGGCCCAGAAUCCUACGGGAGGCAGCAGGAGGGAAUCAUCGGAAAUGGGGGGAACGCUGACCGAGCAACGCCGCGUGAGUGGAGGAGGUUUUCGGGUCGUAAAGCUCUUUUGUUAAGGAAGCGGUACUUAACCAGAAAGGGACGGCUAACUACGUGCCAGCAGCCGCGGUAAUUC
rnacentral:rRNA from 1 species